rnacentral:sRNA from 1 species
AUUCUGCCCAAGCAGGGAAGGAUGAGAAGCUUCGACCAAGGUUCGACUUGAGCGCCAGCGAGAGAGCGUUGCCGCAGGCAACGACCCGAAGGGCGAAGCGCGCAGCGCUGAGUAAUCCUUCCCCCACCACCA